GGGGCUGUAGCUCAGUGGCAGAGCACUUGCCUAGCAUGUAUGAGGCCCUGGGUUCAAUCCUCAGCACCA
rnacentral:tRNA from 1 species